CGCAGACUGCGUAUGAGAGGCGAGGAGACGGCCGCGACGACGAGCGGGACCCGACGCUGCGGAUCCGACAGCGUGACAGCCGAGCCGAUGGCGUUUUUAAAGUUGGAUAACGGUGUUUGGCCUUGAACGGAGACGUUAGAAGCGUAAUACAGGUUUAACGGCAAUGAGUGCGGAAUCACUUGUUAGAUAGAAAGACAGAGGGAGAGUGUGCGUGUGUGUGUGUGUGAGAGGGGCCAAAGUGGACCUCCUCCCUCGGCAGAGCUCGUUCCGCCCGAUGGAGCCUGACGGGACCUUUGCAGUGAGCUCGAGGCCCGGAAUGUCACCUGUGAAACGUCGUCAACUCGUCGCAGGACGUAAUUAAGGAAAAGACCGCGCACACCUGUCUGCCUUUUUUGACGACUUGAGCUGUUUGACAACUUCUUAGUAAGCUAGUAAACGAAAACAAAAGUUAGCAGGUCGACGUUAGCCGCGGGAGGCGACCCCUCGCGCAAGAUGACUGUCAUAGAUAUGACUUAACGAGAGGUAAUUCACCGCCUCAGGUAACACAGGACAGGUGAACAACGCACUAUUUCCUUUUUAACGGACUUCACGCUUCCUUCUCCCGACGGGUUUGUUCUGGAAAGUUGUCUCACGAUAUUUCGCCAUUAGUAAGUUGACUGUUUGUCUGCUAGAAUCGAGCAGUUUUGUUCUUCAAACAAGGACUUCUUGGACAUUUUUUUCGCCCCCUCACCAAGUGUCGCCUUUUCCCACCGACCAACCAUGUCAUUCAAAGAAAACCCUUGUCGGAAAUUUCAAGCCAACAUUUUCAACAAAAGUAAAUGCCAGAACUGCUUUAAGCCCAGAGAAUCACAUUUGCUGAACGACGAAGACUUAAAUCAGGCAAAACCUAUAUAUGGAGGGUGGUUGCUGCUGGCACCAGAGGGAACAAAUUUUGACAAUCCCUUACACAGAUCCCGGAAAUGGCAAAGGAGGUUCUUCAUCCUUUAUGAGCAUGGCUUACUUCGCUAUGCUCUGGACGAAAUGCCCAGCACUCUACCCCAGGGUACAAUCAAUAUGAACCAGUGCUCUGACGUCAUCGAUGGAGAGUCCAGGACGGGUCAGAAGAACUCGCUGUGCAUCCUGACCCCUGACAAAGAGCACUUCAUACGGGCUGAGUGUAAAGAAAUUAUCAAUGGGUGGCAAGAGGCUCUGACUGUGUACCCCAGGACAAACAAGCAGAACCAGAAGAAAAAACGCAAGGUUGAUCCACCCACUCACCAGUGUCUCUGUGACCUUACCUCCCAUUAUAUCCUUUCCUCUUCCCAUCCACUCCUUCCAACCCAAACCCCCUCCCAGGAGCCUGGCCCUGCCAAGGUAACGGUGACCAGCAGCAGCAGCGGAGGAAGCAUCCCUUGCCUGCCCAGCAGCAUUGCCAGCGCUGAGCGUGUCCCGAUGAGCCGCGCCACUCUGUGGCAGGAGGAGAGCCGCUGGAGCAGGGCCACCAUCCCCUGCAGCCGCAGUGCCUCCUGUAUUAGCCAGCUGAGCCAGAGCCAACCAGACUCCAGUAACAUUACUCAAGACGAUGGCGGCACCAUGACCACUGGACGCAAGGUACGAGUGGAGAGUGGUUACUUUUCCCUGGAGAAGGCCAAGUCGGAGCCCUCUCCACAGUCAGCACAGCAUUCUCAGCCACCUCAGCCACCCCAGCACUUGUCCCUGUCCUCUUCAGCAUCCUCCUCCUCUUUAGGAGCUCUCAGUCCCAGGUACAACUCUGAGUCAGAACCCCAAAUUUCCCCUUAUGAACCCCCCCAAGAUCCUCUCCCUUCUCCAGGUGCACUUGUUUCCCCCAGCUACUCCACCAUCAGCUCCUCCCAGAGCUCGCUGGACUCUGAACCCAGCGGCACAACACCCACCUGGGAGGGACACAGUGGUGGUGGAGGAAGCACCGGUAGUUUCAGUGGUGGAGGAGGCAGAGUGGGCCGGUCUGGCAGGGAGUACGCAGCGCUGUCCGAUGUGCCACGGGCUCGCAGACUGAGCUACCGGGAAGCGUUCCGCUCAGAGAAAAAGCGCCAAGAGCUGCGGGCACGGACACGGAGUCCCGGCAGGGAGGAGGUGGCUCGGCUGUUUGGCCUUGAGCGCAGGCGUUCUCAAGUCAUCGGCCGAUUUGAGGAGGGUCAGCAUGUUGAGCGCAUGGACACAAGCAGCUCCAACGAGCCCUCUGCCAACACCACGCUAAUCCAGAGACAAGGCCGCAGUGAGAGACGCUAUCUGGCUAACAAACAUGAAAUGUCACUGGAUGCAGGAAAGGACCGUUCAGCCCCUGAUGUGUCCAGCUCCACUUUUGCUAAUUUAAGAAGAGCUAAGUCACUGGACCGCAGAGUCACAGAGUCCUCAAUGACUCCUGAUCUGCUGAACUUCAAAAAAGGAUGGAUGACAAAGCUGUAUGAAGAUGGAAUGUGGAAGAAACACUGGUUUGUCCUGACAGAUCAGAGUUUAAGGUACUACAAGGACUCAAUAGCCGAGGAGGCUUCAGAACUGGAUGGUGAGAUUGACCUUUCUACAUGUUAUGAUGUCAAAGAGUUCCCAGUCCAGAGGAAUUACGGCUUUCAAAUUCUGUGUAAAGAGGGAGCAUGCACCCUGUCGGCCAUGACCUCCGGAAUCCGUCGCAACUGGAUUCAGGCCAUUAUGAAGAAUGUGCGACCCACUAUCGCCCCCGAUGUCACCCGGAAAAACAUCUCUCUGAAACUAUCCGUUCUGAAGCCCAGAUCCCUCCCAGAGGAGAAGAUAAAAACCCAGGUGAUGUUGGAGCCGUGUCCACAGACCACAACUGAGCCAAGCCCUAGUCCUGAGGCCCCUGUGAAGUCUGAUGUUCACAGACAACCAGUUGGCAACAAUGCCUCCACCCCUCCCUCUGAGCCUCGUAAAAGCCGUGUUCGUGAGCGCAGACGAGAGGGUCGUUCCAAGACUUUUGAUUGGUCUGAGUUCAAAAUGGAACAGACACAAAAGCCUGUGAAGGAACGAGCGGACACAGUCGACCUCAGCUCAUCAUUCUCUACUACUUCCUCUUAUUGCUCUCCCUCCUCUUCCCCUUCCUCAUUAGCGUCCUCUCCAGUCUCUACCUCCUCCCUCCAAACCUCUUCUGUGUCAGGUGCUCACCCACCUUCUAUGUCAGAAGAAGCAGAAAAGGAGAAUGUUAGGAGGGGAAUCCCUCCACAUAGCACAACCAGUGCAACCCACAUGCCAAAUACUGUUACAGUCACCAUGACUUCGACGCUGAACACUACGUCACCGGUACAGCCAGCAAUACCUGAAUGCCAAGAGCAAGCAAAAAUGGAGGUUGACCACCCUACAGCCAUGCAUCCUGCUAGUGGAGAUAAGAAAGACAACAGAACUUCAGACGUCCAAGAAGAGAUUGAGCAGCGAUGGCAUCAGGUGGAGACCACACCGUUAAGAGAAGAGAAGCAAGUGCCCAUCAACACAGGUUUAGGAAACUCUGGAAACUCUGACAGACUGCCUGCACAUGAGCUUGCUGCGCUGCUAGAGAAAGAGUUGGGACAGAAGCAGAAGGAGCUGGACCAACUACAGAAGCAAAACAACGUCCUUAAAGAGCAGUUGGAAAAUGCACUAGGGAGAGAACAAACUGCCAGAGAGGGCUAUGUGCUGCAGAGUGCAACACCCCCUUCCUCCUCGCCACACAGAGUGCCAUGGCAACGCUUGCACACACUUAAUCAAGAUUUGCAGGGCGAGUUGGAGGCCCAAAAGCGCAAGCAGGACAUUGCUCAACAACAGAUUCGGACACUAAAGAGAAGCUACACAGAAGCCCAGUAUGCCGUAGACCGCCAUGAGACUGAUAUUCAGGCUCUGCAGACUAAACUAGCGUCUGCAAUGGCUGAAAUCUUGGCUAGUGAAGAGGCGGUGGCCAGAAUGCGAAAUGAGCUCAAGCUAGAGCAAGAUCGUUCAAAGGAACAAGAAGAGGAACAUGGCCGUAGUGAGACCACCCUACGAGCCCAGCUGAAGGACAGUGAAGAUAGACUCCGUGAAGUAGAGGCAAGUCUCUUAGAGCGAAACCAGGCCCUUAGGCACCUGGAGCGCCAACAAGCUCUGCAACGAGACCACAUGAGAGAGAUACAGAGGUUACAGGAGAGGCUGCAAGAAGUGACUGCUCGGUUAAGUGCUACUGAGGAGGGACAGGCACUGAAGGAAGAGCGCCUGAGAAAGGAACAGCAUAGUAUGCAAGAGAGCCAUGAAAGGGAAAGACAGAAUCUGUGUAGAAGAUUAGCUGAGGCUGAAACUGCUCACAAAGACAUGGAGAACAGACUGCUGGAGGCUGAACAGCAGGUGGAGGCCCUGUUAAGAGGGAGGCAGGCUUCAGGAGGGAAAGAAUGCAAGGAGGAAAUGCAAAAGUUGCAAGAGGAGCUGUCUCAUAAGACUGGCAUGGUUGAGUCACUGAGGGAGAGUGUGCGUAGGCUAGAAGAAGAGAAAGGUCGUCUAACUUGCCGCUGUCAGGAGCUUCUUAACCAGAUUGCCGAAGCAGACCGUGAGGUGAAUAAGCUCCGUAAUCGUCUGGAAACGGAAGAGGCUGAUUACAACACCCUGGAGCACUCAUAUGAGAGGGCUACCAAAGAAUUUCAGAAAAUUAGCCAGUUCCUUAGAGAAAAAGAAGAAGAGAUCCGACAAACUAAGGAGAUGUAUGAGAGGCUGGUAGAACGCAAGGAAGACGACUUAAAAGAGGCCCUUGUUAAAAUGACUGCACUUGGCAACAGCUUGGAGGAAACAGAACAGAAGUUGCAAGCUAAGGAGGAGCUUCUUUGUCAAAUGACGCAAAGCCUCUUAGAUAAGGUUGAGCCCUGUAGUGCUGAAAAGGAUCUGCAAGCUAAGCUUGUGGUUGCAGAGGACCGUAUAGCAGAGCUAGAGCAGCAUCUCAAUGCCCUGCAGCUGGGUUAUGCUGACCUACACAUGGAAAGGCAGCAAAUCCCAGCACAGAGCAAGAAGGGACGGCUUAAAACAUCUGUCUCCUUAUCACCAAACACAGACCUCCCACUUUCAAAGACGGAGAUCUCCCUAGAUGACAAGGAGUCUCAAGCUAAGAGACCAAGGAUACGUUUUUCCAGUAUUCAGUGCCAAAAAUACAUAAAUCUAGAAGGCAUGGACACUAGCCAUUUGAGCAGUACCUUUGCAGACACAAGACAAAAAGGUAAUCAGGAUGUAAAUGAAGACAUCCAUCUAACUGAAGGAAAUGUCUCCUCUGAUAUCACGUUCCCUCACAGUAGUGACCCAGAGAAGUUUAUCUCUAUUAUACAUGCUCUAGAGACUAAACUGCUGGCCACCGAGGAAAAACUAAGAAACCUGACACAGAAUCUAGAAGAACGAUCCAUCCAAGCAGAACAGAUAUCCAAUGUUGAUCUAAAGCUGUCAGAAACAAAGCCUAACCCUGAUAAAGAUCUUAGUUGUGGAAGUGGGAUGCAGCAUAGUGCUGCCAAUAAGCAUUACGCCAUGGCCCUGGUGUGUGUGGAAAAUAGUCGUGAGAAAGUCAAGAUUAUUCUCAGUGGCUCUCAUGAUACCAUUGAUUCACAGCUGCACUCCUUGUCAGAGAUAGAGAGCGAUUUGUUCAAUGCAUCACUUUACAUCAGACAAGGACAGAAGACGCUGGAAGAGCAAUCACCAGUUGUCCAUCCAAAUGAAACCCCAGAGACUCUAGAUAAAGAUGCGUUGCACCUCUUUGCCAAAACUCUGUCUUUUGAGGCAGUCGUGUUGAACAAGAUGGCUUUGUUAAUACAGACUUCAAAGUCUGACGUCCUACAAACUCUUGCAGAGAUAUGGGAGGACAUAGAGAACAUUAAAAGGAGUGACAAAGAUUGCUUGGCCAUAGUUUAUGCUGAUGUCUUGACCAGGAAGUUGAUGUUAGAGAGCGCAUUUUGGAAAGAAUUGGAGAAAGCUGAGACAGAUGUUGCUAAAUCCAAAGAGGGCAGAGUUUCAGCUGAUGUAGAUGUUGAUGCCACCGUUAUCUUUAACACCUUCAUUAAAGCAGAACUUGCCUACUCUAUUCAAAACCUUAAACACUGCUAUGAUGAGAAAUUCAAAAUUCUGAAAAGGGAGCUGACUGAAGCACGAAGCAACCUACAUCAAAGGGAAAUGGCUCUGAAAGCAAUUGUUGAAGCUUCCAAAAGAGCUGAUUUGAAAAAUGUAAUUAAAGAAGUCAAAAAUAACUUUGGGUUCGGUAAACAAAGGUUAGCUGACAUCCACCCCCCUGAACUUGCUCCCUACAUGGAGCAGAUUGAAAUGGAGGAGGCUAGAGACCUAGCUGAGGAAAUUGUAGACGAACACUUGGCUGGAGAAAUGCCCUCUUGUGGUGUUGACUCUGUUGAAUCAAUGCAAAAUGCACAUGUCAACCUGGCUGAUGAGCUUCAAAGACAAGCCGCAAUCCUUCAUAAGUAUGCUCAAGAGAUAGAAAGCGGUGGGAACCACCCUGGCCUGGCUAAAAUGAUCCAUGCUCUUCUAGGGCACCAAACAUCACACAAUUUCACGAGUACCUCUCUUUGUAUGCGCGAAGCCCUAAUUCAGGCUCAAGUGGCUUAUGUGGCAUGUAGGUUACGGGCCAUGCAUGAACAAGAGUUGGGCUGGUGUAAACAGACAGGUCAGAACAUGGAUGAUCUGGUCCAGCAGCAUGCCCACAAUGUCAAUGCUAUCCAAGAGAAAUAUGAAGCAUCCUUACAGGAGGAGCGCCUUAACUUCUCACAGACAGUGGGCACUCUCCAGAAGGAGAACCAAACACUAAAGGGUGAGAUCAGCAAACGUAUGAACCAGCUCUCCCAGCAGCAAGACCAACUGGCUGUCCUGGAGGAGCAUUUCCAGAAGGAGACUGAAGAGCUGAAGCGGAGGCACAAGCAAGAGCUCAGCCAAGCAGAGAAAGGCCGUGCCUCAACAGAGCUGGCCCUCAUGGAGACCACAGCUGACAGUCAACGAAAGCUGGAGGUUCUACUGGUGGACAUGGACACCAUGGAGGAGCGGCAUGAGAGUCAUGUGAGGAAACUGGAGGAGCAGUUUGAACAGAGAAUCUGUGAGCUCCAGCAAAUCCACAAAGAGGAGCUGGACAAGUUACAUUCCCAGUAUGUGGAAAACAUUCAAUUUGUCCAAGAGUACCAACAGGACAAAAAAGGUCCUGAUGUUUCCCAUUUGCCUCCCUGUGAUGAGGCUACUACACCAAUGGAAGAGGAGGAGCAGGGGAAGGGGGAGAAUGCACAGACUAUGUCAGAAGUGGACUCCAUGGUGGUUUUGAAGGAUCGGAUCCAGGAGCUGGAGACUCAGAUGAACACCAUGAGGGAUGAACUGGAGAACAAGCACCUAGAAGGAGAUGUGGCCAGCCUGAGAGAGAAAUACCAGAGAGACUUUGAAAGUCUUAAGGCCACGUGUGAGCGUGGCUUUGCAGCAAUGGAAGAAACCCACCAGAAGGUAAUACAAGACCUCCAGAGGCAGCAUCAGAGGGAGAUUUCCAAACUUAUGGAGGAGCGAGAGAGACUGUUGGCUGAGGAGACUGCUGCCACGAUUGCUGCUAUUGAAGCUAUGAAGAAUGCACACAAGGAGGAAAUGGAGAAGACCCAUCGCUCCCAACUGAGCGGACUGAACUCUGACAUCGAUGAACUUCGCUUACAAUACGAGGAGGAGCUGCAGUCCAUCCAGAGAGAACUGGAGGUGUUGUCAGAGCAGUACUCUCAGAAAUGUCUGGAGAACGCUCACCUGGCCCAGGCACUGGAGGCCGAGAGGCAGGCCCUCAGGCAGUGUCAGAGAGAGAACCAGGAGCUAAACGCUCACAACCAGGAAUUAAAUAACCGACUGACCGCAGAGAUCACUCGGAUGCGCUCCUGUUUCAGUGGCGAAACAGCGCUGUCACCACUUACCCAGGGCAAAGAUGUGUAUGAACUGGAGGUGUUGCUACGAAUUAAGGAGUCCGAGAUCCAGUAUCUUAAACAGGAAAUCCACUCUUUGAAGGAUGAACUGCAGUCUGCUUUAAGGGACAAGAAAUAUGCCACAGACAAAUAUAAGGACAUCUAUACAGAGCUCAGCAUUGUGAAAGCAAAGGCGGACUGCGACAUCAGCAAGCUGAAGGAGAAGCUGCUCAUUGCCACAGAAGCUUUAGGCGAGAGGACCGUCGAUGGAACGGUCACAUCUGGAUACGAUAUCAUGAAAUCAAAAAGUAAUCCAGAUUUCAUGAAAAAGCAGUCCAAGCAAUCAAGAGGCGUAAGGUCAAAGUCUGUCACUGAACAGGUCUCAUGGGAUAGCUGACACUCCCAUUGUGGGAUGAUUCCCCCCCAACCCCCGCCCCAAGAUGUGCUAGCCUGAAAGAGGGACUGACUGUGCAGGAGCGUAUGAAGCUUUUUGAGGCGAAAGAUUCCAAAAGGAUUUGAAUAUCGAGAGUCUGAAGUUUCUUUUCUCUUCUCUGACCUUGGUUUGAGGUCAGAUUGCUACGGCCGUGCCAGCAUCAGCUGAAGCCUCUCAUAGGAAAUGGAAUAAAUUUAUUAAGGUCAGUUCUCAGCCUGGACCUGCUGCUUCCAUGCCUCUGAUACGUUUUGACAGAUUUUUGUUGGAUUUUUUUUUUUUAAUUCAUGGAAAAAAGUUUUAUUGAAUCAAUCCUGUGUAAGGUUAAAAAAUCCUUAGAUGUACGAUCUGUCCAAGUGGUGUCAAAUAAGCUGCGAGAGGGAUAAAUGACAGCAUUUUUAUUGAUCCUCCAGAAUGCCAAAACAGACAGCAAUACACAGUAUGAAUAAUAUAUAUUUCCCAAUAUGAAUUAAGUAUCUGCUGUAUUUUAUAUUGUUACAGUUUCUAUAUCUAAUAAUUUUAAUGUGUUUAAUGUUGCACCAGUUCUGUUGUACAUAACUACUGGAUAUAUGUAAGAGUAUGGUUUGCUAUUGAUUGUUGGGGCAUCUGCUGUACUGUAACUAUGGUUUGAUUGAUAGUGGAAAUCAAUGUGAUGCUUAACUUGCUUAUGUAUGAGAGUUUUAUAAAAAGGAGUGUCUGUGUGUGAAGGGGGUAAAGAGGGGUGGGAUUGCACUUAUCACUUGACUACUUAAGGAAUCUUUUUUAUUUGUCUAAAAUUGGUGUAGUGACUUCAAGUCGAUUAUUGCAGUGCAACCAAACAUCCUGACUUCUGUCAAAUUUAGUGAACAACCGUGACUUGUUAGUGAUGCUGGACUUUUUUUUUCCUUUCUUUUAAGUUUCUUAAAACCUGAAUUUGUGUUUGCUCAGUUUUGACUUUGGUGUGAGAGCAUCAUCUCAGAUAAACUAUUUAGGACUUUGCAUGACUGUACAGUAUCAUUUGAAUUGCAGAAUGAUCAUGUUGCCUCAUUUUCCUACUUUAUGCUUUAGUGUGGAACUCUUAACACUAAUAAGCUUUGCUUUGCAAGUCCUACUGUUUAGGUGUUGAGAUUGAAAUGUUUUACUGUAAGCGGCAGUCUUGAAGCACUCGGCCCAGUCCCUGACCUCUCACUGAAAUCUAGUCGUGCCUCAACUGAGUGAAGAAUAUUAAACAUCCAUGAAACCGUGCAGCUAUGGAUACACACUGUAUAGUAUUCAAACCACGCCUUGUAUAUAUAUAUAUGCCACACGGAAGACUUCUGUGUUUUGUUUUAAACUUGUACCUUGCUCACUAGCUCUAUAUGAAAUAUAUAUGAAUAUUUUUUAUUUUCAUUUGAAUGUAUAACGUCAAAUAAAUGAAGUGUUUGGAAA